rnacentral:pre_miRNA from 1 species
CCUCUCAUUUUUCAACUCUGCCAAGCAAUUGAUGAAAAGAAAAUUACUUCUUUUUCAAUUUUCCCAUCUUUCUUAUCAAGCACAUUAAUGGAAAAUGUAUUUUUUUCUUUCUAUUUUUCUGCUUCUUCAAUGUUCCAUAUUUCUAAAUUUUCUUUUCACCAAUUGCUUGGCAGAGUUGAAAAAUGAGAGGA